GUUUUAAUAAUUUAAUAAAAAUAUUAACUUUGUAAGUUAAAAUUAGAUAAAAUAAAGUCUUUAAAACA
rnacentral:tRNA from 1 species